rfam:Dipodomys ordii contig_27119, whole genome shotgun sequence.
GGAAAUGUGGCUCAGUAGUAGAGUGCUUGCCUACUAUGCAUGAAAUCCUGGGUUUGAUUCCUCAGUACCA